CACACACACACACACACAUAAUCUUAGAUCCUCCCCUUUGAAACAGCUGGUUCUCUCAUAAAUGAGUUCUGAAGCGUGGAAGUCGAAGAUCAAGACGCUGGCAGCGCCGUUUCUGAGGUAGGUGGGAAAGAACAGACUGAUGUCGGGAAACAUGGCUCUUACACCUAAAGUGCAUUGUCUUGUGGCCAAAGUAGUGAAGAAGGAGGACUUUGGCGGCAACUGCACAGCUUUUGAUGCUGAAUUUUAGAUGCCCAUUAUAUAUCCAAGAGGAAACAUGAAGCAGGUAAUUGGAUGUUUGGGUCUGGAGAUCAGAGAAGUGAAAGAGCCCAUGUUCAGGCUAGAGUUUUAAGUGCAAGAUCAGAUCACCUAGGGAGGAACUGUGAAGGAAGAGGA